rnacentral:rRNA from 1 species
AGAGUUUGAUCCUGGCUCAGAACGAACGCUGGCGGCAGGCUUAACACAUGCAAGUCGAACGCCCCGCAAGGGGAGUGGCAGACGGGUGAGUAACGCGUGGGAAUCUACCGUACCCUACGGAAUAACGCAAGGAAACGUGUGCUAAUACCGUAUACGCCCUUCGGGGGAAAGAUUUAUCGGGGUAUGAUGAGCCCGCGUUGGAUUAGCUAGUUGGUGGGGUAAAGGCCUACCAAGGCGACGAUCCAUAGCUGGUCUGAGAGGAUGAUCAGCCACAUUGGGACUGAGACACGGCCCAAACUCCUACGGGAGGCAGCAGAGGGGAAUAUUGGACAAUGGGCGCAAGCCUGAUCCAGCCAUGCCGCGUGAGUGAUGAAGGUCUUAGGAUUGUAAAGCUCUUUCACCGAUGAAGAUAAUGACGGUAGUCGGAGAAGAAGCCCCGGCUAACUUCGUGCCAGCAGCCGCGGUAAUACGAAGGGGGCUAGCGUUGUUCGGAAUUACUGGGCGUAAAGCGCACGUAGGCGGAUAUUUAAGUCAGGGGUGAAAUCCCGCAGCUCAACUGCGGAACUGCCUUUGAUACUGGGUAUCUCGAGUAUGGAAGAGAUGAGUGGAAUUCCGAGUGUAGAGGUGAAAUUCGUAGAUAUUCGGAGGAA